rnacentral:rRNA from 1 species
CCUACGGGGGGCAGCAGUGGGGAAUAUUGGACAAUGGGCGAAAGCCUGAUCCAGCCAUGCCGCGUGUGUGAAGAAGGCCUUCGGGUUGUAAAGCACUUUCAGUGGGGAAGAAAGCCUUGGGGCUAAUACCCUCGAGGAAGGACAUCACCCACAGAAGAAGCACCGGCUAACUCCGUGCCAGCAGCCGCGGUAAUACGGAGGGUGCGAGCGUUAAUCGGAAUUACUGGGCGUAAAGCGCGCGUAGGCGGUCUGAUAAGCCGGUUGUGAAAGCCCCGGGCUCAACCUGGGAACGGCAUCCGGAACUGUCAGGCUAGAGUGCAGGGGAGGAAGGUAGAAUUCCCGGUGUAGCGGGGAAAUGCGUAGAGAUCGGGAGGAAUACCAGUGGCGAAGGCGGCCUUCUGGACUGACACUGACGCUGAGGUGCGAAAGCGUGGGUAGCAAACAGGAUUAGAUACCCCGGUAGUC